AUUGAACGCUGGCGGCAUGCCUUACACAUGCAAGUCGAACGGUAACGGGCCUUCGGGUGCCGACGAGUGGCGAACGGGUGAGUAAUACAUCGGAACGUGCCCGAUCGUGGGGGAUAACGAGGCGAAAGCUUUUCUAAUACCGCAUACGAUCUACGGAUGAAAGCAGGGGACCGCAAGGCCUUGCGCGGACGGAGCGGCCGAUGGCAGAUUAGGUAGUUGGUGGGAUAAAAGCUUACCAAGCCGACGAUCUGUAGCUGGUCUGAGAGGAUGAUCAGCCACACUGGGACUGAGACACGGCCCAGACUCCUACGGGAGGCAGCAGUGGGGAAUUUUGGACAAUGGGCGCAAGCCUGAUCCAGCCAUGCCGCGUGCAGGAUGAAGGACUUCGGGUUGUAAACUGCUUUUGUACGGAACGAAAAGCCUUCUUUUAAUACAGGAGGGUCAUGACGGUACCGUAAGAAUAAGCACCGGCUAACUACGUG
rnacentral:rRNA from 1 species